rnacentral:rRNA from 1 species
UUCGCAAUGCCCGAAAGGGUGACGAAGCGACGCCGCGUGCGGGAAGAAGGCCUUCGGGUUGUAUACCGCUGUCGGGAGUUAGGAAAUGCAAGGAUGUUAAUAGCGUCUUUGCUUGACUAAGGCUCCGGAGGAAGCCACGGCUAACUCUGUGCCAGCAGCCGCGGUAAUACAGAGGCGGCAAGCGUUGUUCGGAAUUAUUGGGCGUAAAGAGCACGUAGGCGGCCGUGUAAGUCGGUUGUGAAAGCCUUCCGCUCAACGGGAGAACGGCAUCCGAUACUGCAUGGCUCGAGUGCGGGAGGGGAGAGUGGAACUUCUGGUGGAGCGGUGAAAUGCGUAGGUAUCAGAAGGAACACCGGCGGCGAAGGCGACUCUCUGGCCCGUAACUGACGCUGAGUGUGCGAAAGCUAGGGGAGCAAACGGGAUUAGAUACCCCGGUAGUCCUAGCCGUAAACGAUGGGCACUAAGUAGAGGGGUUUU